rnacentral:tRNA from 1 species
GAGCCAUUAGCUCAGUCGGUAGAGCACAUGACUUUUAAUCAUGGUGUCCGGGGUUCGAUUCCCCGAUGGCUCACCA